rnacentral:rRNA from 1 species
UCAAGAAUAUUCCUCAAUGGGCGAAAGCCUGAAGGAGCGACGCCGCGUGCAGGAUGAAGCUAUUCGUAGUGUAAACUGCUUUUCCCAGGGAAGAAACAAUGACGGUACCUGGGGAAUAAGGGGUUGCUAAACUCGUGCCAGCAGCAGCGGUAAUACGAGUACCCCGAGCGUUAUCCGGAAUUACUGGGCGUAAAGCGUGCGUAGGCGGUUUAGUGCAUCUCCCGUUAAAUCAUCAGGCUUAACCUGGUGGCCGCGGGAGAGAUGGCUAGACUUGAGGCCGGAAAAGGCAAGUGGAAUUGCUGGUGUAGGGGUUAAAUCCGUUAAUAUCAGCAGGAACACCAAAAGCGAAAGCAACUUGCUAGUACGGUUCUGACGCUGAGGCACGAAAGCGUGGGGAGCG